CUGGGACCUACGAGAUUCUUUGGCACCUUCAAAGAUCAUGAAAACUAUGAGAACCCCUUCAGAGCUAAAUGAAUUUUAGGGCAGCUUCAUGCAUCAGUUUGCCCUGGACAAAGCCUCUGGAGUGUGAGUGGUGUGGUGCCUUGCCCCUGCAGGAGUUCCUGGCCCUGGGGUCCCAGGAAGCCGAUCCUUUCCAUGUCAUCCAAGCACCAGGAUCCUGUGACUCACCCGGGGAGUAUCCAGUCCAUGGUUCAGGGUCAAGAAGUGGACAUGCUCUCCCUGUUCCCUAAAGGCUGGGACAAAUCAGGUGACAAGCUGGCAGAACAUACUUUUAAAACCAGAUGCUUCUAAAGAAUUACUAGCAAAGGGGAUUGUUGGCUGAAGGUUAACAAAGCUUGCUUGGGAGAAUCUUCUGAGGUGAAAACGUGGUCACAGACCUUCACUAGUCUGCAGAUCAGGGUGUUGCUCCAAGAAGGACAGUGAAAGGGUGAGGCUGGAGUAGGCUUGGCUGCAGUUCACGAGGACCUCAAAUUCAGGCUUUUGAUGUCAUCUUCAAAUACUGCUCUACAUAUAGACACAAAGAGACACCAACUAUUUUAAUAGACAACCCAAGGAAGUCACUCACCAAGUUUCUUUUUACUUGCAUACUAUUAUCAGACAUAUCUCCCACAGUGCACUAUGAACUGAUUUUUUUCAAAGUAAGUUUUGUAAUUAUCUUGUGAAAAACACCAUUCUACUGGCGUUGAAACUAUAUUGUGAGGGACAGAGAACUUUUAUUGCUGUUCCUCAUUGUUUCCACAGAGGGGAUGGCAAUCCAUCUCGUUCCCGGGAUAGGCAUGCCAGGACCCCUUUCAUCUUCUGCCCGCUCACUCUUUCCUCCUUUAGGGAGAUGGAAUAACUUACCUGAUUGGUGAAUUGGCAAGGCUCUGUGCUUUUUGAGGUUAUCUUUCAGAGCCAGUCUGUCUCCAAGAUGCGCACUUCCUCCGCUCUUCCCUGUGGUUUGGCUAAGCAGGCAGCUCUGCCCCUACAAAGAGGCCCGCUAUUU